AUAAAAGUCACUUGAACUCCACUUUGUACUAGCAUCACGAGUCUUAUUUGCUUCUAAAUCACCCAAACAUCAAUGCUGUUAUGAUCGAUAUGUUAUCAUUUAUAAUAGUAACAUAUGAUCCCUCAACCCAAUAUAGUCUUAUCAUUUCACUGAACAAACUUGUUACUGAACAGUUUUAUAACAAUGACAUUUGGAUUGUAAAUCGUCUACUUGCCAAUGGUUUGAAUUCAAAUUUUCAAACAUUUGACAAAACAAUGAGUGUAAAUUUACGAAAAUUACAAUGUAUUCUCCAACCUAUACAUAAAUAUGGGGACCCAAUUCAAAUUUUCUAUUCAGCAAAUGAGAUCCAGACCUUCAAUUUUGUAGUAAACUAAAUGGUCCCUAAAGAUGAUCUCUAUCCAAAUUUUUAGCAAGUGGGUCCCAAACUGAUAGGGGUACUUUCACUUCAAAAUUUUUCCGUUUGUGGGGAUAUUUUAGGGAAGUGCAAAACAAACCUAGGGAUUUGAAAAGUAGCUGUUUUGAGGAGAUCUGAAUGGUGGAAGUUUGAUAAGUGCGUUUUACACACUUAUUUAUGCCACCAAACAUGGAUAAUGUUGGUAAAUAUAUGAAGUAUGGCUUAAUCCUAUACAAUUAUGUUUUGUAGGAUGACAUUGAUGGACAUAGCGGAGUUUAGGAGAAACAAGCGAGAGAAGGACUAAAAUGGGAGAAACCAAAAGUCCUGGGACCAAAUUGCAAAUAGCUGAAAGAUAACCCAGAAGAAGAAACGAAGAUGUGAAAGAGUCGGAGACCAAUUUAGCACAGACACGAAGUAUUAGGAGAAGAAGAAAUGACAAAAGAGAUCAAGAAACGAAACAAAAGUUCGGGGACAAAAACGCAAAGAAUGAAAUUCCACUUGAACUAUGCGGUUGCAUAUUUCUUUGAGCCAUGCGAUUGCAUGGCAUGUUGCAGGAGGCCUCAAGGUUGAAAUUGUUUAAACUAUGCUACAACAUACGAUUGAACUAUGCAAUAGCAUAGUAUAUUUUCAGAGGAAAAUUUUUGGUUUCCUAAUUUGAAUCAAACUCCUAUAGAAACAAUAUUUCUCUUUUAAGACCGAAGGCCGUCUAGAAACAAGGGGAGAAGCAUUCUAAGAGAUUUUGGAGCAUACAAAUAGGCAAGAAACACGAAGAACGAUUCCAAAACUCGAAGAUUCAAUUCGAGAUUUAUUU
rnacentral:lncRNA from 1 species